UUUUACUUAUUUCAGUAAACAGACCGAAUCUUGUGAAAACACUUCGACUAGGUUACAGAAAACUUUUAUUUUUUCAAAACUAGUCUUAAGCAAAAAGUGAUUGUCCGUUUGCAAAAUGUAAGAUUUGUUACGUUGAUUUACAGAAUGGAUAAAUUAAAUAACUCUAUGGUAAGCUGGGAGCUGAACUAACACACCGUUACACUUUUUUAUAGCAAGUACUUGUGUGUGUGUGCCCACAGUACUGCAUGGCCGAAUCAAAUACUUCUUGGAUAUAACACUACAAAACGAACAUGAUUGUAAAAUUCUGUGUGAAAUGUUUGGCUGGUAUCAAAAACGUCAGAAUCAAAGAAACAUUUGGCGUUUUUAAAUUAAUAAAGUGCAUCUUUGGCUGAA